AUUGAACGCUGGCGGCAGGCUUAACACAUGCAAGUCGAACGAGUGGCGGACGGGUGAGUAAUGUCUGGGAAACUGCCUGAUGGAGGGGGAUAACUACUGGAAACGGUCGCUAAUACCGCAUACCAUCGGAUGUGCCCAGAGGGGAUUGGCUAGUAGGUGGGGUAAAGGGUCACCUGGGCGACGAUCCCUAGCUGGGCUGAGAGGAUGAACAGCCACACUGGAACGGAGACACGGUCCAGACUCCUACGGGAGGCAGCAGUGGGGAAUAUUGCACAAUGGGCGCAAGCCUGAUGCAGCCAUGCCGCGUGUAUGAAGAAGGCCUUCGGGUUGUAAAGUACUUUCAGCGGGGAGGCGUUACCCGCAGAAGAAGCACCGGCUAACUCCGUGCCAGCAGCCGCGGUAAUUC
rnacentral:rRNA from 1 species